UUUAACACAAUGAAGGGAAGUCCUAAGUUCAUGUUGUAUAGAGAGCUGACGGUUGGUGAAAGUCAGUCUAACAUACUUAAGGAUUCCAUCCUGGAGUGGCCAAUGAUGAAUUGUGACGGGUUCCGCCCGGUAAAGCGGAUAAGAGUUGGCAGGAUUCAGUAGGAUUCGGCAACAUGGGUGGCAACGCGGGAAUAACCUCUCGUCCUUAUU
rnacentral:ncRNA from 1 species